ACAUUGUAACACCCCUUACCCGUAUUCGAUGCCGGAAUAGGGUACGAGGCAUUACUAGAAGACAUACAUUUGCAUACGUAUUAAACCGAGUUACAAAAUUUCAUCCGAAUUAAAACUUUCAAAUUUUUAACGUGCUUUUAUAAUUCUUUACAACAUAUCCUCGAAAUAUUAUAUUCAUAACAAAUAGGGCCUACGAGACCCGAUAUUUACUCAUAUAUUUCAAAGCUUCAUUUCCA
rnacentral:lncRNA from 1 species